rnacentral:rRNA from 1 species
UACAGAGGUCCCAAGCGUUGUUCGGAUUCACUGGGCGUAAAGGGUGCGUAGGCGGUCGGGUAAGUCUGAUGUGAAAUCUCACAGCUUAACUGUGAAACUGCAUUGGAUACUAUCCGGCUCGAGGAAUGGAGGGGAGACUGGAAUACUUGGUGUAGCAGUGAAAUGCGUAGAUAUCAAGUGGAACACCAGUGGCGAAGGCGGGUUGCUGGGCUGACACUGACGCUGAUGCGCGAAAGCUAGGGGAGCGAACGGG